rnacentral:rRNA from 1 species
GAGUUUGAUCCUGGCUCAGAAUGAACGUUGGCGGCGUGGAUUAGGCAUGCAAGUCGCGCGAGAACUGUAGCAAUACAGGGAAAGCGGCGUAAGGGACAGUAAUACCUAGAAACGUACCCCCGGGUCUGGGAUAGCGGCGGGAAACUGCCGGUAAUACCAGAUAACGUCUCCGGACCAAAGGUGUGAUUCCACCUGGGGAGCGGUCUAGGCCCUAUUAGCUUGUUGGUGGGGUAACGGCCUACCAAGGCAAAGAUGGGUAGCAGGUGUGAGAGCACGACCUGCGUCACUGGGACUGAGACACUGCCCAGACACCUACGGGUGGCUGCAGUCGAGAAUCUUCGGCAAUGGGCGCAAGCCUGACCGAGCGACGCCGCGUGCGGGAUGAAGGCCUUCGGGUUGUAAACCGCUGUCGAAGGGGAUGAAAUUCUGGUGGGUUCUCCCAUCAGAUUGACAGAUCCUUGGAGGAAGGACGGGCUAAGUUCGUGCCAGCAGCCGCGGUAAUACGAACCGUCCAAACGUUAUUCGGAAUCACUGGGCUUACAGAGUUCGUAGGCGGCGGAGAAAGUAGGGUGUGAAAGCCCUCGGCCUAACCGAGGAAUUGCGCCCUAAACUACUUCGCUUGAGGAGGCUAGAGGUGAGCAGAACAGAUGGUGGAGCGGUGAAAUGCGUUGAUAUCAUCUGGAAUACCGGAGGCGAAGGCGGCUCACUGGGACCUUUCUGACGCUGAGGAACGAAAGCUAGGGUAGCGAACGGGAUUAGAUACCCCGGUAGUCCUAGCCGUAAACGAUGAGCACUAGACC